CCUACGGGUGGCAGCAGUGAGGAAUAUUCGUCAAUGGACGCAAGUCUGAACCAGCCAUGCCGCGUGCAGGAAGACGGCUCUCUGAGUUGUAAACUGCUUUUGUACGAGGGUAAACGCAGAUACGCGUAUCUGUCUGCAAGUAUCGUACCAAUAAGGAUCGGCUAACUCCGUGCCAGACGCCGCGGUAAUAUGGAGGAUUCAAGGGUUAUCCGGAUUUGUUGGGUUUAAAGGGUGCGUAGGCGGUCGGGUAAGUUAGAGGUGAAAUCCCGAGGCUCAACUUCGGAAUUGCCUCUGAUACUGUUAGGCUAGAGAGUAGUUGCGGUAGGCGGAAUGUAUGGUGUAGCGGUGAAAUGCUUAGAGAUCAUACAGAACACCGAUUGCGAAGGCAGCUUACCAAGCUACUUCUGACGUUGAGGCACGAAAGCGUGGGGAGCAAACAGGAUUAGAUACCCGUGUAGUC
rnacentral:rRNA from 1 species